rnacentral:lncRNA from 1 species
GUGUAGAUGUUAGUCCCCACACAUGUGGGUACACAACUGCAGAAAAUUCAUCCAUUCCAGUUAAGCUGGAUUCAUACUCAUUGCAUAUAGAGUGUAUAUGUGUGCAGAUGAUACUUGGAGAGAAUAUAACACAUGAUAACUUUUACUAGUGCACGGUGAAGCUGAUGGUUAUGGAUAUAUUCAUAGUGGUAUCUGAAUUCAUUUCCCACAUUUACCAAGAGGAUGAUGGGCUACCUGUUAAUCAGAGAUAAAUAAAACCCAAUAGAGUUUUCUUAAUGUAAACAUAUUAGAAUUCAGACAUUUGAAAGGUAUAAUAAAUACCAUAAUAACCAGAUAUGUCCACAACCAAGACUGUAAAAUUAAACAUCAGAGUAAAUACACCUGGAUGACUUUUCUGAUGCCUUAUCCCCAAAAGGACCCAUUAUCCAAAAUCUGUUUUUGACAUUCUCCUGCUUUGCUCCACGUUUUACCCCUGUGACUAUAUCCCUAAACAAAACCCAUGGUUGCUUUACUUAUUUUAAGCUCUUACAUAAGUAGUAUAUUUAUAUUUAUAUACUACUUAUUGAUUUUUUCUUCACUGAACAUAAUGUUUUUGAAAUCUCUCUAAUAAUGCAGCUUUGGGGUUUUGAUAUUUUAGCUAAGCUUGGUGACCUGCUUGCAUAUUUGUCUGAGGCACUGAGUAUUCCAGUGUUCCAACCACUAACAGGCGUUUCUAGUGCUGAGGACAAAUCUGUGAAUUGUGGUUGCCAUAGAAACCAGAUGUCAUUAUGGCCACUAUGGUGACUGUGAUGACAUUUUAAAGGAGACCCACUUGCUAUGGUUGGAGAGCAGUGUCCCACCUUCAGGUGUUUGGACUCAGCAGAGGGUGUGGGUGCCCCACAAUGAGGAUUGAGGCAUGGAGAGACAAAGGCAUCUGAGACCCAAAUCACCUUGUUCCCACACUGGGUCUUGGUGCCCUGCUGACUCAAGAGGGAGAGAAAUAUGGAACCCUCCUG